AUUGAACGCUGGCGGCAGGCCUAACACAUGCACGUCGAGCGAGCGGAGGACGGGAGAGUAAUGCCUGGGAAUUGUCCAGUCGAGGGGGAUAACAGUUGGAAACGACUGCUAAUACCGUAAAAGAUUGGAAGGCCCAGGUGGGAUUAGCUAGUUGGUGAGGUAAUGGCUCAACAAGGCGACGAUCCCUAGCUGGUCUGAGAGGAUGAGCAGCCCCACUGGAACUGAGCCACGGUCCAGACUCCUACGGGAGGCAGCAGUGGGGAAUAUUGCACAAUGGGGGAAACCCUGAUGCAGCCAUGCCGCGUGUGUGAAGAAGGCCUUCGGGUUGUAAAGCACUUUCAGCGAGGAGGCGUUACUCGCAGAAGAAGCACCGGCUAACUCCGUGCCAGCCGCCGCGGUAAUUC
rnacentral:rRNA from 1 species